rnacentral:tRNA from 2 species
AUUAAAAUAUUAUUUUGGCAGAUUAGUGUAAUGAAUUUAGAAUUCAUAAAAGUAAAUAUAUUUACAAGUAAUAC